ACCGACCCCGCUCCCGUCUGCGGGAUAGCGCCUGCUCCCGCACCCGGCCGGGGGUCAGCGCCUGAUCCCGCACCUGGCAGCGGGAUAGCGCCUGAUCCCGCACACGGCCGGGGUUUAUCGCCCCCAGCAGUGGCCGGCUGAGUGAGGCCCGCUCCUGUGUGGGGCGCAGCCGUAGGCGGGGAGGAGCCGCUCUCCCGAAAGGAGCGCCUGGCACCAUGGCAAGGACAGCAUCUUUACAACAAGACAGCGCUGCUUUGCCAGCCAGGGCUCUGGCUUGGCUGCUGUCCGCCUGUGCAGGGUCAGCAAUGGAAAGAGACUCCCCUCUGCUACAGCUGCUUUUGAAUUACCUUCUACAAGGAAAAUAUAAAAGACACAGAAAGGAGAUUAGUUAAUUUUUUUUUAUCCUCCUGUAGAAAAAAAGACUGUCUGAAGACUGGUGAGAAUCAUUAGCAAUUAGUACCUGAAAUAAUUCUGUUAAAGUUUAUCUGAAGAAUUAAACAAAAUUGAAGUUUUCAUAAGAAGUUUUUAUUUCUGCUGUAUGCUCUGAAGCAGCAAGGGGAUACCCGAUUGUGAAGAUCUCUCUAGCAAAGCUUUUAAUCAUCCUUAAA
rnacentral:lncRNA from 1 species